UAAUACGAAGGGUGCUAGCGUUGUUCGGAAUUACUGGGCGUAAAGCGCGCGUAGGCGGCCAUACAAGUCAGGGGUGAAAUCCCGGAGCUUAACUCCGGAACUGCCUUUGAGACUGUAUGGCUGGAGUGUGUGAGGGGAUGGCGGAAUUCCUAAUGUAGAGGUGAAAUUCGUAGAUAUUAGGAGGAACACCGGUGGCGAAGGCGGCCAUCUGGCACACAACUGACGCUGAGGCGCGAAAGCGUGGGGAUCAAACAGGAUUAGAUACCCUGGUAGUCCACGCCGUAAACGAUGAGUGCUAGCCGUUGGGUCCGUAGGACUCAGUGGCGCCGCUAACGCAUUAAGCACUCCGCCUGGGGAGUACGGUCGCAAGAUUA
rnacentral:rRNA from 1 species